GUCUACUAUGGGGAAACCUGUGAGAAAACUCUAGGGCUGGAGCACUGCUACGCGCCGCUACAGUGGUUACAGUUGGAGCACUAGCACAGUUCAGCACUAGCAUAUUUCCUGACAGCAAAGCCACUGUAGCGCUAAAGCGGCCAGUGCUCAGCCUGGCCGGCUUGCAGAGUUUUCGUACAUGUGUGCAUGUAUUACCAGGGACGAAACAGGACAGCAGAGACAAGCUCUUGUCGCUGAUUACCUGCGCCCUUAUCGUCCUACGUUCGUAGUGUGGGCGCGCUAUACGUACUAUGGGAACAGUUGAUUGAGGUAAGGUUAUGGCAGAAACUUGAGAAUAGCACUCGCCAAGUUACGCGGGUGAUGUUCCAAAAUGGCACAAAAACGUCUGACUUCGUCAUCCCUACGUCUGUGAGGUGGAGACCAACGAUGCAGUUGAUCUUGGGACUCUUACAAGGGGUGGCUGGAAUCAUGCCACUUUUCUAAACAAACACGUUACUGCCUGGCCGCUGCACUUUAAAGGGACACUAAUGAGAAAGAUCAUUUGACCUGCAUUAGUGUAAAUUGUCCUUUUACAACACCAAAAACACUACUCUUACCGCAAGAAGAUGCUCGCAUUGCCAUUGCCCCAGUUGCAGCAUCAAGCGUUCUACUCGGACAUUCAAAUUAAGUGCGAAAAUUCCCAUGACUCUACAGCAGGGGCCAACGACAACGGCAUAUGUGCGAAUUUAGUGCCAACUGUGCUGCCAGAUGAGGGUGCCAUCACAAGCGAAGCCAGCGAGCGCUCACGCCGUAACAAGUGCAUAUAUUCUUGUCCAUAUUGCCCUUACGUUGCACGGAGUUCGCACUUGACUGCACACAUGCGUGUCCAUACUGGUGAGAAACCAUUCAAAUGCAACGUCUGUUCAGCUUGCUUCACCACGAAAUCAAACCUGUCACGGCACGUGAGGGCUCAACUAUGCGGAAAGCCAUUUCCAUGAUCCGUCUGCAACUAGCGGUUCAACACCAAGUGCACAAGAAGUGAUUAGCUUGAUGUGUUCCAACUCCCUGAAAGAAGGUGGACUGUGCUGGGUGGCAGCAAGGCCUGUUCACACAGCCAUCAACUGCGAGUGUGCUUGAACAGCAAAGAAGGCUCAAGUUUAGAACAAGCAUUUCAGUCAUAUGUUCGUGGAGUGGUUGUGUAAUAGCAUGAGAUUAUAAAAAGUAUCUGUCAAAGACGCUCACCAAUAGACUGUUUAUUAGAAAACCACUUAUGUGCAGAAGUGUGGUGCUUCAAGCUGUGCUGUGAGGACACCUUUGGUUGCAGUGCAAUGUUUUACUGUGCCAGGCAGUUUUAAAGUAGGAAACAGUCGCUGUUUCUGUAAUUUGGUGAGUCCGUUGCGCUCGUUGGUGUUUGGAUGCGCUGGCGCAGAUGUCACUUAAGUUGCAGCAGUUUGGAACUCCAGUUUGUGGGAAGAGCUAGUGUGGAUAUGUUUUUCCAUGUGGUGAUGUUG
rnacentral:lncRNA from 1 species